rnacentral:tRNA from 1 species
GGGCGCGUGGCGGAAUCGGUAGACGCGACGGACUUAAAAUCCGUUGACCGCAAGGUCAUGUGGGUUCGACCCCCACCGUGCCCA